rnacentral:rRNA from 1 species
UACAGAGGGUGCGAGCGUUAAUCGGAAUUACUGGGCAUAAAGCGCACGUAGGUGGCGACGUAAGUCGGGUGUGAACGCCCCGGGCUCAACCUGGGAAUUGCAUUCGAGACUGCAUUGCUGGAGUACGGAAGAGGAGGGCGGAAUUCCCGGUGUAGCGGAGAAAUGCGUAGAUAUCGGGAGGAACAUCAGUGGCGAAGGCGGCCCUCUGGUCCAGUACUGACACUCAAGUGCGAAAGCGUGGGGAGCAAACAGG